GUGAACCUUUACUAUAGCUUGACACUGAACAUUGAGCCUUGAUGUGUAGGAUAGGUGGGAGGCUUUGAAGUGUGGACGCCAGUCUGCAUGGAGCCGACCUUGAAAUACCACCCUUUAAUGUUUGAUGUUCUAACGUGGACCCGUUACCCGGGUUGCGGACAGUGUCUGGUGGGUAGUUUGACUGGGGCGGUCUCCUCCUAAAGAGUAACGGAGGAGCACGAAGGUUGGCUAAUCCUGGUCGGACAUCAGGAGGUUAGUGCAAUGGCAUAAGCCAGCUUGACUGCGAGCGUGACGGCGCGAGCAGGUGCGAAAGCAGGUCAUAGUGAUCCGGUGGUUCUGAAUGGAAGGGCCAUCGCUCAACGGAUAAAAGGUACUCCGGGGAUAACAGGCUGAUACCGCCCAAGAGUUCAUAUCGACGGCGGUGUUUGGCACCUCGAUGUCGGCUCAUCACAUCCUGGGGCUGAAGUAGGUCCCAAGGGUAUGGCUGUUCGCCAUUUAAAGUGGUACGCGAGCUGGGUUUAGAACGUCGUGAGACAGUUCGGUCCCUAUCUGCCGUGGGCGCUGGAGAACUGAGGGGGGCUGCUCCUAGUACGAGAGGACCGGAGUGGACGCAUCACUGGUGUUCGGGUUGUCAUGCCAAUGGCACUGCCCGGUAGCUAAAUGCGGAAGAGAUAAGUGCUGAAAGCAUCUAAGCACGAAACUUGCCCCGAGAUGAGUUCUCCCUGAGACUUAG
rnacentral:rRNA from 1 species